UACAGAGGGUGCAAGCGUUAUUCGGAAUUACUGGGCGUAAAGCGCAUGUAGGUGGUCUGGUUAGUCAGACGUGAAAUCCCUAGGCUUAACCGUGGAACUGCGUUUGAUACUUUCAUACUAGAGUACCGGAGGGGGGGGUGGAAUUUUCGGUGUAGAGUUGAAAUUCGUAGAUAUCGGAAGGAACACCAGAAGCGAAGGCGGCCACCUGGAAGGAUACUGACGCUGAUAUGCUAAAGCGUGGGGAGCAAACAGG
rnacentral:rRNA from 1 species